rnacentral:rRNA from 1 species
GCAGUAGCCACGGUAAUACGGAGGGUGCAAGCGUUAAUCGGAAUUACUGGGCGUAAAGCGUGCGUAGGUGGUGGUUUAAGUCCGUUGUGAAAGCCCUGGGCUCAACCUGGGAAUUGCAGUGGAUACUGGGUCACUAGAGUGUGGUAGAGGAUAGUGGAAUUUCCGGUGUAGCAGUGAAAUGCGUAGAGAUCGGAAGGAACAUCUGUGGCGAAGGCGACUAUCUGGGCCAACACUGACACUGAGGCACGAAAGCGUGGGGAGCAAACAGGAUUAGAGACCCCCGUAGUCCCUGUCUCUUAUAC